GAGUUUGAUCUUGGCUCAGAUUGAACGCUGGCGGCAGGCCUAACACAUGCAAGUCGAGCGGAUGACGGGAGCUUGCUCCUUGAUUCAGCGGCGGACGGGUGAGUAAUGCCUAGGAAUCUGCCUGGUAGUGGGGGACAACGUUUCGAAAGGAACGCUAAUACCGCAUACGUCCUACGGGAGGAAGCAGGGGACCUUCGGGCCUUGCGCUAUCAGAUGAGCCUAGGUCGGAUUAGCUAGUUGGUGGGGUAAUGGCUCACCAAGGCGACGAUCCGUAACUGGUCUGAGAGGAUGAUCAGUCACACUGGAACUGAGACACGGUCCAGACUCCUACGGGAGGCAGCAGUGGGGAAUAUUGGACAAUGGGCGAAAGCCUGAUCCAGCCAUGCCGCGUGUGUGAAGAAGGUCUUCGGAUUGUAAAGCACUUUAAGUUGGGAGGAAGGGCAGUAAGUUAAUACCUUGCUGUUUUGACGUUACCGACAGAAUAAGCACCGGCUAACUCUGUG
rnacentral:rRNA from 1 species